AUGUUUUAUCCAAAUGCUUUGCGGAGGGCGGAGCUGGGCGGAGCUGUGGCAGAAGAGGCGGCGCGACGGAGCAGGAGAAGAUGGCCGAGAAGAUGUUCAGGCGCGGCGCGGCGGGCGAAGAAAAGUUUUGGUGAUGAGCUUGUGGCCACGCUGGACCAGCUGCUGCAGUCCCCCUGCGCCGUCGCCGUGGGUCGCCUGUGUUCUGCUGCUCCGGUGCCGGCACCUGUCCCUGUGCGGUCCGUGCUCAGGAAUUUGGCGAAGAAGGCGACUGCCGUGCUUGCGCGCGAGAAGGGCGUCGGACCUCGUUGGCGCUGCGAAGGGGGCACAGCUCAGGUUGGGUACGCCGUCGGCCAGCGCCGGCGGCGAGCACGCUCCGCUGUGACUUGUCCGCCACAGCCAGUCCUCUCCCGCCUCCCCCGACUCCGUGUCCUUGUCCAACGCAAAUCAAUGGAGCUGCCGACCAGGAUUGUUGCUGGCUUCUAUAAGAAGGGAGGGUCCUCGGCUCGAAUCUCCAUCAGGUCAAUUUUGGACGAAGCAUCCAAUGUCGACACCGAGUUCGCCGCAGGAAGAAGCGCCGAGUUCGCCGGAGGUAGAAGAAGCGCCGAGUUCGCCGAAGGUAGAAGAACAGCCGUCGAGCUGUCCAAUCUCGCCUGCGUUGGCUACAACAGAGGUAUGUAUCCCCUUGACCCCUGUUUUGAGUUAUUUUUUUGUCCCCUGUUUCUCUAUGUACCUUCCAAUAUGGAGUUCAGAGGUAAAGAUAUUGUUGCGAAGUACGUCAGUUUAGAUAUUGUUGCCUUCUUGUGA
rnacentral:rRNA from 1 species